UUUGUGAGAACGGGCCAUAACCUCAUGGAUCGUUCCGCAGAGAGCAUCACGGUGCAUUCUAUUUGUAUUUUUGUUAUAUUUCCUCGCUUGUUGGUAAAACUUUUGUCAUGAUUAAAUAUAAUCUAAUGCUUUAAAGCACUUUAAAGUAUCACAGUCUUAUUAAAUACCUUUUUUAUUAAUAUAAAGAAUUUAAAAAGACAUACUGUUUGUAAACAUAUAUGCACGUGACAACACAAACGAUAAUAUGAAGAUAACAGUUGACGGAUUAAUUGUAUAUUUUCCAUAUGAUUACAUUUAUCCAGAGCAAUAUGCAUAUAUGCUUGAGCUCAAGCGUGGAUUGGAUGCCAAGGGACAUUGUAUGUUAGAAAUGCCUUCGGGCACUGGCAAGACGAUAACUUUGCUGUCGCUUAUUGUAGCAUAUAUGUUGGCACAUCCACUCGAUGUCACAAAACUGAUUUAUUGUUCCCGAACAGUGCCAGAAAUAGAGAAGGUUAUACAGGAAUUAAAAAAUCUCAUAGACUAUUAUGAGGAAGAAACCAAAAGCAAAUCAAAUGUUAUUGGUUUAGUCCUUAGCUCACGUAAAAAUAUGUGCAUUCAUCCAGAGGUCAGUAAAGAACGAGAGGGCAAAAUUGUGGAUGGUCGAUGUCACUCUCUUACCGCGUCAUACGUACGAGAGAGACACAAUUAUGACGAAUCCACGCCAAUUUGUACUUUUUAUGAAGCAUUUGAUAUGGAAGGUAAAGAACAAAUUAUUCCUCCUGGUAUUUAUUCCAUCGAUGAUUUGAAAGACUAUGGGAAGGACCGUAACUGGUGUCCGUAUUUUCUCGCGAGAUACACAAUUUUACAUGCACAUAUUGUAGUAUACAGUUAUCAUUAUCUGCUAGAUCCAAAGAUUGCAGAAAUGGUGUCUAAAGAGCUAAGCAAGAGUUCUGUAGUUGUGUUUGAUGAGGCUCAUAACAUUGAUAAUGUCUGUAUUGAUUCGAUGAGUGUCAAGAUAAAUAGGAAACUGAUGGAGAGAAGUUCAGCCAAUAUACAACUCUUGGAGAAAACCGUAGCUGAAAUGAGGGAUGACGAUUCAAACAGAUUAAAGGAAGAAUACGACAGAUUGGUCGCGGGAUUGAAAGAUGCUCAGUUACAAAGGGAAACCGAUGUUAUCUUGGCUAAUCCUAUUCUACCGAAUGAAAUACUCGAAGAAGCUGUUCCGGGUAACAUAAGGAAUGCCGAGCAUUUCAUUGGUUUUUUGAAACGAUUCGUCGAGUACCUGAAGACUCGUUUACGUGUCCAACACGUUGUGCAAGAGUCACCCGCCGCAUUUUUACGAGAUAUCCAAACAAAAGUCGCUAUUGAUCGUAAACCGUUGCGAUUUUGCGCGACAAGAUUGGCGUCCCUGCUACGCACCAUGGAAAUAAUAGAUCUAACGGAUUUCUCUCCGAUAAUUUUGGUGACGCACCUUGCGACAUUGGUUUCGACAUACACGCACGGCUUUACAAUCAUAGUAGAGCCGUUUGACGAUAAAACGCCAACAAUUUUGAAUCCAAUUUUAUAUUUUACCUGCCUGGAUUCCUCAAUCGCCAUCAAGCCAAUUUUCGAUAGAUUUCAAUCUGUAGUAAUUACUUCUGGGACGCUAUCUCCAUUGGAUAUGUAUCCGAAAAUUCUCAAUUUUAAACCGGUCAUAAUGUCGUCGUUUACAAUGACAUUGGCUAGACCGUGCCUCUUGCCCAUGGUCGUCGCCAAAGGCAAUGAUCAAGUGGCCAUCUCAUCGAAAUAUGAGACACGAGAAGAUGUGGCUGUUAUAAGAAAUUAUGGUCAAUUGUUGGUCGAAUUUGCCGCAACAGUUCCCGAUGGUUUAGUCUGCUUUUUCACGUCGUAUCUCUACAUGGAAUCUGUGGUGGCUGCUUGGUACGACCAAGGAGUGGUGGACCAACUUCAGAGACAUAAAUUAUUGUUUAUUGAAACUCAGGAUUCUGCUGAGACUAGUUUGGCACUAGUCAACUACAUAAAAGCUUGUAAUAAUGGUAGAGGAGCCAUUCUGCUUUCGGUGGCUCGUGGAAAGGUAUCCGAGGGCGUUGAUUUCGACCAUCACCUGGGCAGAGCUGUGCUGAUGUUCGGCAUACCAUACGUAUACACGCAAUCACGAAUUUUAAAGGCGCGUUUAGAAUAUCUUCGGGACCAGUUUCAAAUUCGAGAGAACGAUUUCUUAACCUUCGAUGCCAUGAGACAUGCCGCUCAGUGCGUGGGACGUGCGAUUAGAGGCAAGACGGACUAUGGUAUUAUGGUAUUUGCUGAUAAGAGGUUCUCAAAAACAGAUAAACGAAGCAAACUACCGAAAUGGAUACAGGAAUAUUUAAUUGAUAGUUUAUGCAAUCUAUCUACCGAAGAAGCUAUACAGAUUAGCAAAAGAUGGUUGCGACAAAUGGCACAGCCAUUUACACGUGAGAACCAGCUUGGACUGUCUUUACUGACGAAGGAACAACUCGAGAAAGAAGAGGCUGCAAAAAUCGAGGAAAAGGCACAACAAAAUUGAUAGCAAACCAAGAUAUUGCCGCAAACUAAGAAGAAAGUAAAGAGAGAAGAAGUUUUGCUUGACUCUGAGAGAGAAACAUGAAUAUACGACAUACAUUUUCCAAUAGCGUAAUCCUUUCGUCGAUUUGAGUUUGCCUCGAGAAAUUGCGAAAUUUCAACAGUAAGGUUUAUUAAGAAGGCAAUGGAAUUAAAAAAAGUUUAAUAACAAAGAAUAGCAGACUUUAACAGUAGAAAAUACAGUUAUAUACCUAC
rnacentral:misc_RNA from 1 species